UUAGCAAGCUACUUCAGGGUAUCU
rnacentral:misc_RNA from 1 species